rnacentral:tRNA from 1 species
GCCUUCGUAGUGUAGUGGUUAGCAUGCUCGUCGCGUAUUCGAGAGGUCCGUGGUUCGAAUCCCGGCGAAGGUA